AAAUAAUUUAACCCUCAAUUUAGCGGGAGCCAAAAGCAUUAACAAGCGGGAUUAUAUUUUGAGAUGCGCGCCUCCCAAAAUCUCAUCUCCUUCAUCCAAAACAAAAAAAACAAAAAAAAAUAACUCUCAACCGACUUCUACUCCAGAAAAGAUGAGAGAAUACCCCCAACUUCAUCUCUUCAAUGGCUAGAUGCUUUACUUCGCAAAUCUUUGCCAGAUUUGUCGCAAAAAUCACUUCCAAGUAAGUCAAAUAGAUGUGCUAAUCAACCGGAUGCACAGACAAUUAGCAAAUCAAUUCCAAAUAAUCAAAUCCAUGGACAAAGCUCUGUAACGUUGACUUGCGUUCCAUUGCCGGGAAAUCAUUAUCUGAUCCUUUCGUAAGGCGUCUCAGUUUAUUCUACCUCCCAAAGAUCUACGGGUAGUUUUCUCUUUCUCCUGCGCCUUAAUUAUUACCCCCAAAUUUCUAGGGUUUAUUUAGGAUUAUCGUCAUAAAUCGAAUAAUCUUUGAAAUACAGUCUUAUUUCAGGCUUGUUAGUUUUUUGAAUUUUGUAACCCGAUUACUCAAUUCGAUUGUGUUUGUUGGAUUAAUUUUGUUUAAUUAUACAACCUGGUUCGUUUUUCCCCUCUUUGGCUGGGUGAAAUUUUGUUUCGGACUUUUUUCAAUUGAAGUAACAAUUCGUAUUUUUGCCUAGUUCAUAUUUUUAAUAACUCAAUUUGAUUCUUUUUAUUUAUCUCUAUGGCUGUGUGCAAUUUCUACUUGUAUCCCUCAAUGCAAUUACUGUAGCAUUUGCUUGUUUUUUGAAUUUUGUUAAAUCAUCAUCUAGAUUACUGGAUAAUCUUUGCGAUAGUUUUUUCCGUUUAUGGUUGGAAAAAUCAGUUUCUUUUCGUAAUUUAGUUUAGUGAGUUACAUUAGUGGUUCUUGUAAAUUAAUUUUUGGUACUUUUUUCAAACAAUAUUCUGUUCAACUCGAACUUGGAUGGUUCAGUUUAUAACAGAGCCUUGUAAUCCUCAAUUGUAACACAACUAGUAGUUUCCUCUAGUUCUAGGUUGAUUUGGUAAACAAUUUUGAUAAACAUAAUAGGAUAAAUAGAUAGUUUUUGAAUGUGAAUUGUUUAUCUGGUGUUGUGUGUGUGUGUGUUUGAUUGAAUGUGCAGCAGCUGAUUGUGAUGUUGGAGGGUCAUCUAUGUGUCUAUUACUGUAUAUAGUGUUUUGCUUCUCUUGUUUCUUUUAACUACUAAUAAUAAUAUUCAGUAGUUAUCAAGUGCCUCGAGACUUCCAGGUACGCCUCUUUGCUUCAAUGGUUACUUGAUGUCUGAUGUCUGAGUUGAACUAUCCUUUUAUUUUACGGUAAACGCUACACUAUUUUCUUUCUGGUUGUGAUUACGCAUGGGUCGGAUACUCAGAUGUUAUAGCCUUAUCUGCAACUGCAAACAGUUUGUUGCAUGAGAAGCUUGACUUGAAUAAUUUAACUUUACGCCAUCUGUAGUUCGUUAGAAUUUUGGUUACUACAAGAGAGAUUUUAAGACCAAGUACUUAUAAUAUGUUUCAAUAUGUUUCAAUAUGCUUUAUAUGUGUCUUACUUUGGUGUUCUUUUUCAUCUUAGUUACUUCAAGAGAGCUUUUAACUUUUUAAGACAGUUUGGAUUCUCAUUUUUAAGCAAUUGCUAGAAGUGCGUUUAUAUGGCACUAGCUGAGCAAAGCACUGCAACUUCCACCCUGGUUUUGCUCGACUACUGUGCCGUUGCUCAUUAGGUUUGUUGCCUUGAGUUGUAAUGUAACAAUUUGUUAUAUGUUCAUUCUCAGAACAUGUUCGGCUUAAUCUGCUUUCUGACAGAAAGAAAUAGCAUGGACCAUAAGUUGUUUCCUACUUAUUACUGUGAGACUAUCUGAAGGAGGCGUCAGUAGCUAAAAUGUCCAACCUUUCACCAGUUUAUAUAUGUCCUUUCUUUGAUCGAUGAAAUGCUCACUGCAAACCCCAAAAGGGCCCGGCUGUUUCACGAUAAAUCACUGGCAAGCGAGGAUAUCUAUGAACCAUUUGUAAGCUCAUAUCAGCAGGUACUCUUCUGGUCAACAUGUUAUGUGGUACUUAAAUCUCCUAGUGUAUAUAUGUAGAGAUGAUGCAGCGUUGCAGCAGCUGGUCUGGGUGUCCAUGCUGAGAUGGGCUUGUUAUGUUCUGCUGAUUUGCUUUCUUUAUCUGAGCUAUUGCAUACUUCUUUGCAAAACAUUACCCAUUCUUGUCUGCAUAACUGUGCUGAUGAUGGGGUGCCGGCUAAGUCCUUGCACACCUGCUGGUUCAGUUAUAUAUAUCUGCUUCCUUCUGCACAAUGGUGCUGCUGAUGGGCUGUGACGUGGGUCGACUUCACAAAUACCUGCCGGCGAGGACUAAAAGUGCUGCAAAGGAUGGUUGAAGCAUAUAUAGAAGAAACGUGAAAUUUUCAGUUUGUAACUUACUAGUUUAGACCUAAGUUGAUUGCUAGUUUUUGGUUUUUUUUUGUUUUGUAAUUUUCUUCGUUUAGCUUUGGUACACUAACUUUAUUUCAUUCCUUUCUUACCCUGCCUUUGGACUCGUAUUUUGUUCGU